GCUUAUAAAAGCUUGAAGAUUUCUCUAUAACUAAGACAUUAAGUAGUUGCUUUUGAUAACAGCACAUAGUUCGCUAUGAAAUUUGACCACGUUCUCUCUUGGAUGAUGAUAGUGGUGGUGAUAAUGGCUUGUUUAGCUGCUAAACAUGGUGUUGAGGCCCGAGGUGGAAUGGGAGGAUUCUUUUCUGUUGGUAAAAAGACAUUGAGACAAGCCUCUAAAAUGGGAUCUCAAACUGAAGAGUAUAUUCGUCAUAAAGCUGGAAAAUAAGAAAUUGGCAUGAAACAACAAUUUUUCAACUUUGUGAAUUCAUAUCGAGGACUUUUCUUAACUUUUCAUCAUUUUUAAGUUGUUGUUUAAUAAAUAUUUGUUUAAGAAUGGAAACAAGUAAAAACACAUAAAGAUCA
rnacentral:sRNA from 1 species